UACGUAGGGUGCGAGCGUUAAUCGGAAUUACUGGGCGUAAAGCGUGCGCAGGCGGUUUUGUAAGCCAGAUGUGAAAUCCCCGGGCUUAACCUGGGAAUGGCAUUUGGGACUGCAAGGCUCGAGUGCGGCAGAGGAGACUGGAAUUCCUGGUGUAGCAGUGAAAUGCGUAGAUAUCAGGAGGAACACCGAUGGCGAAGGCAGGUCUCUGGGCUGACACUGACGCUCAUGCACGAAAGCGUGGGGAGCAAACGAGGAUAGAUAC
rnacentral:rRNA from 1 species